AGUAACCCCAACAACAACAAGGUUCUGGCUCUACUGAAGAGUGAACAGCUGUGCUCGGGCUCGAUACGGCUCAUGCUGUCGGUGGCCCUGAUAAACUCAACAAAGAAAGAAAAGCUGUGUGUAGAGGCGGCACAUGUAGGGUUAGGUCACGAUGGAAUACAAAGAGCUAAUCAUCAGCUCACUCUCUGUGGUCGCUUUCCUCGCCCUCGUUAUGAUCUUCGUUGCCCUUGGUUGGUAUGUAGUUUGGUGGCUGUUCCUAUCAAGAUUCAAGUUUAUUCGUGAACUUCUGGGAAACCAUCAGGAACCAAGCCCAUCGGUAGAGGAGCUGAGGCAAGCUCGACUUCGUUCAUCACGCAAAGCACGACGGGACUGAAACUUCAGUGGUCCCUUUGUCAUGACUUAAAAAAUAUAUGAGACUAAUGGUGAUUAUGAUGACUGAGAAAUGGCAGAUGACCAGGAACUUCUAGUCUCUACUAACCUCAAUGCCAGCAUGUUGUCCAGUCGUACUCUUAGUGCUUUGUUUAUUUUUACAUGUCUGUGUUGUAUCUCAGGAACACAGUUGUAUUAAUAAUUUGUUAAAAGUUUGUUUCUGAAGCUAUCGUCUUUUAAAGGGAAUUUUUUAUACAAUUUAAGUUACAUAAUAUUUUAAUGUAUACUGUGUAUGUAUUACUGUAGUCAUUUAAACAAUUAAUUUGGUAUGGUUAUUGUUAGGUUGUCUUAAGUUUAUAUGUCAUAUCAAUUAUUUAUUAUAUUAGUUCUGUAGGAUGAUACAAUAUCUAAUUGUGAUUGUAACUGAAAGCAUGUAUGUAAUUAGUAGUGCUUCUGUUUUAACAAAAAACAGGUCACAUGUAAUAUUAUGAACAUGUCUCAGAGUACAUUUGAAUGCCAUGAUUUAGCUUUUUUAAGUUCUACAAAGGAACUUCUGUGCAUCUCAUUAUGACAACUCUUAGCACCGUUCAAGCCUGCUUUGAAAAAUGUAUUAAAAUAAUUAAUGGUUUCUUGCUAAUUGAGAAAUAUUUAAACAUGUACUAUAGCCAUUAUGUAUUAAUGUACAGCUGAACUAGUACAACUUAGUCUGUGAACAUUUUGUGAUGAAAUGAAUGGGGUAUACAUCUCCACAAUGUUAAUAAGCAGGACGACUUAUGUAGUAUUUUCCUGGGUUAAAGUUGGGAAGGCUGUAGUUAGAAUGUAUAGACUUGAAAAAACCUGUUCAUUUGUAUAUAGAAUUUGUUUUAAAGAACAAAUAAUUAUGCAUUAAUUUAUGAUUGUAAUGUAAUUUAUAUGAAGCUAAUAUUUUUAUACAUUUUCAAAUAAACUUGGAAUACGUGAAUGACUCGUGCAGCAGUGUGGAUGGUGAAAUGUAAAGUAGGGCAGCAAGCUUGAGUGAAUGAUUGUCAGCAUCCUUUGAUACUUUGUUCACAUGACCACAAUAAUUAAUGAUUCUUUUAAAACCAAC